AAGGGGUUAGCUGAGUGGUUUUAGCAGUAAAUUUACACUUUACAUACAGAGGUUCAAAUCCUCUACUCCUUA
rnacentral:tRNA from 2 species